CAGGCCUAACACAUGCAAGUCGAGCGGACUUAUCCUUCGGGGUUGGUUAGCGGCGGACGGGUGAGUAACACGUAGGCAACCUGCCUGUAAGAUCGGGAUAACUACCGGAAACGGUAGCUAAGACCGGAUAGCUGGUUUCCCCGCAUGGGGGAAUCAUGAAACAUGGGGCAACCUGUGGCUUACGGAUGGGCCUGCGGCGCAUUAGCUAGUUGGUGGGGUAAUGGCCCACCAAGGCGACGAUGCGUAGCCGACCUGAGAGGGUGAUCGGCCACACUGGGACUGAGACACGGCCCAGACUCCUACGGGAGGCAGCAGUAGGGAAUCUUCCGCAAUGGGCGCAAGCCUGACGGAGCAACGCCGCGUGAGUGAUGAAGGUUUUCGGAUCGUAAAGCUCUGUUGCCAAGGAAGAACGCCUCGGAGAGUAACUGCUCUGAGGGUGACGGUACUUGAGAAGAAAGCCCCGGCUAACUACGUGCCAGCAGCCGCGGUAAUACGUAGGGGGCAAGCGUUGUCCGGAAUUAUUGGGCGUAAAGCGCGCGCAGGCGGUCUUUUAAGUUUGGUGUUUAAGCCCGGGGCUCAACCCCGGUUCGCACUGAAAACUGGGAGACUUGAGUGCAGGAGAGGAAAGCGGAAUUCCACGUGUAGCGGUGAAAUGCGUAGAGAUGUGGGGGAACACCAGUGGCGAAGGCGGCUUUCUGGACUGUAACUGACGCUGAGGCGCGAAAGCGUGGGGAGCAAACAGGAUUAGAU
rnacentral:rRNA from 1 species